CCUGGUCAAAGUGCUCCGCGCGAAGACGAUUCCCUGUGCACGAGCGCACGGGAGACGACGAGCUCCAUUGGCGCCCGGAAUUUGACGAGGGUUUUCGGGGAAGGCACAAGCCUAUUCUCCGUGAAAGUUUUAUGUACACUAAGUGAACAGCCACGUAAGCAAUUUUGAUGACAUUGUAUAUUAUUAUGAGGUGAGAGAAGAAAAGUAGUUUUUUGAGAUGAAACUAUAUGUACACUGUUUUUAAAAUAUUUGUGUGUUGUAUGUAGUUUUGGAAAUAACAAAAGAUGAAACUAUAUAUUAUUUGAGAUAUUUCAUCUACGAAUUAAAUACAUUCUUAACUAUGUGGCAUUUUUGAAAACAUAACUAUGAAACUUUGCAUUGAGAAUAGAAAGCCACGUUUGAAGAUCAGUGGUGCAAUAAAGAGAAGGGAAAACGAUGCGGACGCUGGGGUUUUGAAUGUUCGGCACCGCAUC
rnacentral:lncRNA from 1 species